UGGGUGAAGAGGUGGAUAGCGGAACGGUCGCGUAAUCGUAAGCAACUGCCCAAGACGGGACAACAGUCCGAAAGGAGUGCUAAUACCGGAGUGUGGCGAGGAAGGUCUUCUUUUGUCUAAUCCUCGCAGGGGGCUUGGGAGGGGCUUGCGGCUAUCAGCUAGAUGGCGAGGUAACGGCUCACCAUGGCGACGACGGGUAGCUGGUCUGAGAGGAUGGUCAGCCGGACUGGGACUGAGAUACGGCCCAGACUCCUACGGGGGGCAGCAAUUAGGAAUCUUGCGCAAUGGGCGACAGCCUGACGCAGCGACGCCGCGUGGAGGAGGAAGUCUUUCGGGAUGUAAACUCCUUUUGAUGAGGA
rnacentral:rRNA from 1 species